UUGGGGGAGGGCAUCCUCAUGUGCCCUCAGGUGGCCAAGCGCCUUCAGGUGGUGCUUUCAUGGAGGGCAUCCUUACAUUUUGCACUGCAGGCACCUCGCUUGCCUCACCCUAGUCGUGGCUCCACUCUGCAUAUAUCAUCUCAUUUAAUCCUCAGAAGAAGCCUGUGUUGUAGGCUGGUAUCGUGAUUAUCAUCAUUAGCAUUUUACAGAUGGGAAAACUGGGGUGCAGAGAGGUAAAGUGAUUUGAUUUGCCUAAGUUGAGGUCCAGACUUAAACCCCAGGCCAUCCAACUUUAAAGCUAUGCUCUAACCCACGGGGCUCUGUGGGAUUCGUUUAUGGCCCAAGAAUAGCACAAAUGAAGUCUGUACUUGGCAGAGUCCUGGGGCAUCCGUAAGAGGUGCGCUGGAUGGGGCACAGGAGCAAGAACACACUGGGAGGGAGGAAGAGCGCACAGGGAGGUGGCAUUUGAGAUGAGACGAGAAGCAGCUAGGAUUUCAACAGGUGGCACUUUGGGGGAGGGCAUGCUAGGAGGAGGGAACAGGAAGUACAAGGGCCAGGGGCUAGGAAAGGGCACUGGCUGGGGACAGGCCAACAGGGGAGCACCC
rnacentral:lncRNA from 1 species